UGAAGGUCUGCGGAGGCGUCUAGAGGAGUGUGAGGAGGAGAGCGACUGUGACAGCAGGAGAACACAAGAGGAGGCAGAACCUGCUAAAGGAGCCGAGCGGCAUCAGUCGGCGGUGAACAGCGACGUGGCGGCGUUUGCGCUGAAGGCGAGGGUGGUGUAUCCCAUCAACCAGAGAUACAGACCGCUAGCAGACGGAGCCUCCAACCCUUCCCUGCACGAGCCACCCAAGUGCCAGGCCCCGCCCAGCCAGGACUCCGCCUCCUCGCUGGGUGAUGAUUGGCUGAGCCAAAACAGGGACGAUGAUGAUGAAAGUAGUCAGUUCGUCCCCUGCGGCCCCUCGUCUAAAACACACACCAGUCACGUGUUCAGGAGAGUCCGGCACUACCCACAAACCCUGUGUCACUCACGGUCAGACAAACUCAUGCGC